UGCACUGUUUGGUAUCUGCAUCCACCAGUAAUCUCCUGAUGGGAUGUUCAAAAAGCAGUGCUAUAGUAAUCCAGCGCUUGGCAUCGUUGGUUUUUCAUGCUGUUGUGCUUGUUAAACCUGGUAUUUCUGUUGGGACAUGU
rnacentral:snoRNA from 1 species